GACGAACGCUGGCGGCGUGCCUAAUACAUGCAAGUAGAACGCUGAAGGAGGAGCUUGCUCUUCUGGAUGAGUUGCGAACGGGUGAGUAACGCGUAGGUAACCUGCCUGGUAGCGGGGGAUAACUAUUGGAAACGAUAGCUAAUACCGCAUAAGAGUAGAUGUUGCAUGACAUUUGCUUAAAAGGUGCAAUUGCAUCACUACCAGAUGGACCUGCGUUGUAUUAGCUAGUUGGUGGGGUAACGGCUCACCAAGGCGACGAUACAUAGCCGACCUGAGAGGGUGAUCGGCCACACUGGGACUGAGACACGGCCCAGACUCCUACGGGAGGCAGCAGUAGGGAAUCUUCGGCAAUGGACGGAAGUCUGACCGAGCAACGCCGCGUGAGUGAAGAAGGUGUUCGGAUCGUAAAGCUCUGUUGUAAGAGAAGAACGAGUGUGAGAGUGGAAAGUUCACACUGUGACGGUAUCUUACCAGAAAGGGACGGCUAACUACGUGC
rnacentral:rRNA from 1 species